rnacentral:lncRNA from 1 species
AGAUCGAAUGGAAGGAAAGGAAUGCAUAAUGGAGCUUUCUCUCACAGCUGACUGUUGCUGUGUUCAAGCUAUCCAAGCCCUGUGAAGGAACCAAUGUGCCCUGUGCUUCUCUGCUGAGGCCAUUGUCUGCAGCAUAGCCACAGGCUGGGCAGCAGAUGUGAUGUUUUACUAUGGGAAAGAGUAAGAAGAGCAAGGAAUUACACAUCCAGCCUUCCUCCCAGCUACAUUCCAGGGCUGUAACAAGCAGCAGUCCUGCUUUCCUGUGAAGAGGUUGCCUGAUUGCUACUGAAAUAUUUCAACCAGCUGACAAUUUGACCUGCUGUGAACACUGACUUCUCACCAGGUUGAAGCAUGACUAGAACUCUGCUUCUGCUUUUCUACUUUGUAUUACUGAUGCCGAAUGACGCCAGAGAAAGGGCUCUAGAUUUUUUUGGUGGGCCAUAUGUAACAGACUACACAAAAGAUACAGGGAGCUCAUGGAAAGUGUCCCACGUGAUGCUUCGAGGUCCAGUGCUCAUUCCUAUUAAAGCUGUUUUAGCACUUUCACACCCCUUUGAUAAUGAACAAGAUUCUAAACAUCAUUGCUUUUCUUACUGGUAGCUAACUGUGGGCAAGGUUUCAAGGAUGACAUGAGCAGCUUCCUGUUUAUGGAGUUCAGUCUACAGGCUUCUUCAUCAACUCCAUUAAUAUUUAUGUAAACUCAAAUUGCUUUCAAUGUCAUUAUCACAACAUAUCACUUUGCCUCAUUGCAUGUAUUGUAACUCCAAAAGGUAAUUUGACAAGGUUAGGCCCUUAUAUAUGCUUAAUGAUGUGUACAUGAUUUCAGCAUUUGCUUAGAUGUGUAUCUGUAUUUUGUAUGCUUCUCUUGGCACUCUGACUGCCUUUACUGGACUGAAUGUUCAAAAUGAGGGUCCCUCCACAGAUCUUGUAAUUGAUACUACAUGGAGUGAAUGAGUUGCACUGAUCACUCAACAGGCUUAGGGAAUAGGGAAUCCCAGCUAUUCAAGAAUCUGAGAAAUGAUUAUGAACUGACCCAAAGGCAAAUAUUUCAGAAUAUUGCCAGAAGAGGAGAUGGCACAUACUGAAGAGGCUCCACUAUGUAAUAAACUGCUAGAUAAUGAGAAGAAAUAUGCCUUG